GACGAACGCUGGCGGCGUGCUUAACACAUGCAAGUCGAGCGGUAAGGCCCUUUGGGGUACACGAGCGGCGAACGGGUGAGUAACACGUGAGUAAUCUGCCUUUGGCUUGGGAAUAACUUCGGGAAAUCGGGGCUAAUGCCUGAUGUUUACUGUCUGCUGCAUGGUGGGUGGUGGAAAGAUUUUUUGGCCAGGGAUGAGCUCGCGGUCUAUCAGCUUGUUGGUGGGGUAAGUGGCACCAAGGCUUUGACGGGUAGCCGGCCUGAGAGGGUGUUCGGCCACACUGGGACUGAGACACGGCCCAGACUCCUACGGGAGGCAGCAGGUGGGGAAUAUUGCGCAAUGGGCGUAAGCCUGACGCAAGCGACGCCGCGUGGGGA
rnacentral:rRNA from 1 species